rnacentral:rRNA from 1 species
AUGCGGCGCUGCUUCCCCGACCUGGUGCUCUGCGAGCCGGCCACGCGCCGCUACCAGCUCAUCCCGCGCAUGGAGGAGAUGAAGCACGAGCGCUACUUCGGCGCCUUCCUCUACGGGCACGGAGCGAUCAACGUGGGCUCGUGGGAGGAGAAGAGCUAUAACCGGUCCACGUUCGAGGUGGUCUGCCUGCUUUACCAAAGGCAUGACCGCGUGUGCGAGGAGAUUGGCAGGGCGAGGGUCUGCGUGUUCUACUACUACACUCAUUGUGGCAGAUUGGUCUUGAACCGUCCGCCAGGGUGGUACCUUAAGAAGGAGUACCAUGGACAGUCGUCUCCUGAUCUUCGUGGCCCAGAGUCUCUCUAUUUUUUGGGACGCACGACGCAUUUUCCGUAUUGGGGUAUCAGACAUGAUGAUCGAGCCUUGCUGCUUUUUGAUGGAUACACCGAAGUCUACAGUGUGCCCGACGUCGCUCGAGGGUCGGUCUUCCGUCUUGUUGAUCAUAGCAGUCAGUACGACAAGAUUCGUGUUGUUUGCUUGCAUGGCAGCACUCUACGGAUCUUUGUGGCGCUGUUUUAUAAUAUGGAGAACUCGGUGCUUGAAAAGAGCAUCCAGUUGACAGAGGCUACAAGUGGGCUAGUAGGAUACAAAGAGGAGUACUUUGGAGGUGGUAGCGAUGCCCUGGAGAUUGUUGCGGCCGACAAGGGGUCUGUAGUCGUCGCCGCGGCAACAAAGGCGUGGAUGUUCUCGGUCGAUCUUGAGACCAUGGAGGUGGCGGAGUACAAGUGCAAGAAGAAUGCCGACAUAAGUGUCGUGGCCUAUCCUUGUGAGCUUCCAUGGCCACUGACUUUGAAUGCUUGUAAGGUUCGGUGUAAGUGA